UACGGAGGGUCCGAGCGUUAUCCGGAUUUAUUGGGUUUAAAGGGUGCGUAGGCGGCCUAUUAAGUCAGGGGUGAAAGACGGUAGCUUAACUAUCGCAGUGCCUUUGAUACUGAUAGGCUUGAAUGUACUUGAGGUAGGCGGAAUGUGACAAGUAGCGGUGAAAUGCAUAGAUAUGUCACAGAACACCAAUUGCGAAGGCAGCUUACUAAAGUAUGAUUGACGCUGAGGCACGAAAGCGUGGGGAUCAAACAGG
rnacentral:rRNA from 1 species